rnacentral:sRNA from 1 species
GAUUGUUCCUUAGAACCGCGGAAUUUUUGUGGCAAGAAGGGCACACCGCUCACGCCACAAAAGAUGAAGCCAUCGAAGAAACAGAA